GAACAUUAUUACAAGUGAAAUGUGACUAAAAACAUUGUGGUGAAAUCGAAAACCUCUAGUUGUUUCAAAGAUGGCAAAGCUUUCUACCUUCUUUUAUGUCCUUCUCGCAUUCCUUAUAAUUGCCUCAGUUGAGAAGAUGGUGUCCAAGGUGGAUGCAAGGUGCAUCUACAAAUUUGCGGGGGAGUGCGUGAGCGAGACUAAAUGCCAAGAACUGUGCACAAAGACAUACCCUUCCUGCAAGGGAUUUUGUGACGGAAUAGAUCCCCGGAAGCAAUGUAUUUGCAAAUAUUGUGAUUGAUGAAUGAUACCUUUAAAUGAAAGUGGGCCUUAUGUCCUCAUCUUAGCAAUGUAACAAAUAAAUAAAUAAAUAAAUAAGAGGACUAUGUUAAUUUGUCUGUUCUU